rnacentral:rRNA from 1 species
CGCAACCUCGUCGUAUGUUAUAUGUGUCAUACGAGACUGCCGGUAAAAGCCGGAGGAAGGUGAGGAUGAUGUCAAGUCAGCAUGACCUUUAUAUCCAGGGGCUACACACACGCUACAAUGGUCUGUACAAUGGGUAGCCAAGCCGCGAGCGGAGCCAAUCCCUGAAAGCAGGCCUCAGUUCAGAUUGCAGUCUGCAACUCGACUGCAUGAAGCCGGAGUUGCUAGUAACCGCAGGUCAGCAUGCCGCGGUGAAUACGUUCCCGGGCCUU